rnacentral:rRNA from 1 species
UAUUGCACAAUGGGCGCAAGCCUGAUGCAGCGACGCCGCGUGGGGGAUGAAGGCCUUCGGGUUGUAAACUCCUUUCGCUAUCGACGAAGCCACUUUGUGGUGACGGUAGGUAGAUAAGAAGCACCGGCCAACUACGUGCCAGCAGCCGCGGUAAUACGUAGGGUGCAAGCGUUGUCCGGAAUUACUGGGCGUAAAGAGCUCGUAGGUGGUUUGUCGCGUCGUCUGUGAAAUCCCGGGGCUUAACUUCGGGCGUGCAGGCGAUACGGGCAUAACUUGAGUGCUGUAGGGGAGACUGGAAUUCCUGGUGUAGCGGUGAAAUGCGCAGAUAUCAGGAGGAACACCGAUGGCGAAGGCAGGUCUCUGGGCAGUUACUGACGCUGAGGAGCGAAAGCAUGGGUAGCGAA